UGUUGUUUACCCACAUGGUGGUGACUGACUGACAGGACUGUAGUUAGAGUGGAGAAAUGAGCGACACUGAAGCAAAUGUAGUGCUGCCAAUGACCAGCUCGAAGGAUGAUGACAUCGUCGACAGAAAAGGUCAUUCAAUUUCGGUCACAAGGAGAAUACCAGUCUCUCCUGCGGGGAGACACUCAGUGUUCCUCUGCACACACAGCAGGAUGUAGAACUGUGGUUUAGACCUGACCAAGGAGACUCUCGCUGGCUGUGACUUACAUAGUGCAGGACUCCGAGAGGAAACACUGUUCAUGUCAGUGUGGGAGCUCGAUCAGAUGUCCUCACCCUGCAAUCCGGACAUAAUCUGUCUCUCCCUCUUCACACUGCUUAUCCAGUGGAGGUGCUGUUUGAUCUUGCAGGAUCUGCUGAGUCUCACAGAGUCAUACUGAGCAACGCAGGUCUCCCUGGCCCUGGGUAUGAGCAGAGAGUGUCUGUGCAGGACAGCUCUCUGAUACUGUGCUCUCUCACACCAGCUGAUCAGGGAAACUACACAGUGAGGGACCUUCAAGGAAACCCCAUCAGCACAGUUGCCCUCACUGUGAAAGAGGUUAUGACCACAUCAUGGACUCAAAUUGUUGCAGUCAUCACCAUGGCAGUGAUCAUGCUUGUUGUACUCGGUGCUGUUCUCUCCACAAAAUGGCUCAAGAAAAGAGAUACGGUACUUUGGACAAAACAUUUAAAAAUCAAGGAAAGAGCUGAGCCUCAGGGUACAAGCUGAGAUGUGGAACCACCCUUACACUCUCAUGCCACCCAAUGGUAGCUUCUUGAUCCUGAAUUGACAUUCUCUAGGUAAUAGUGCCUCUGGACCACUGGAACUGGAACUCUGCAGCUGCACAUGAUUUUAAACACUGCAGUUUACACUGUGUUGCAUUUUCAUUGGGGACAACAUUUAGUACCGCUCUACAUUCUAAGAAUCAUUGUCAGGACUUAGCUUUUUAUUGCAAUAUCUUUUUAAACUAUUUUUUUUAAAUUGUAAUAAAACUUAAUCUCA